rnacentral:rRNA from 1 species
AUACGGAGGGUGCAAGCGUUAUUCGGAAUCACUGGGCGUCAAGGACACGUAGGCGGGAAGCCAAGUCUGAUGUGAAAUCCUACAGCUUAACUGUAGAACUGCAUUGGAAACUGGUUACCUAGAGUAUGGGAGGGGGAGAUGGAAUUAGUGGUGUAGGGGUAAAAUCCGUAGAUAUCACUAGGAAUACCUAAAGCGAAGGCGAUCUCCUGGAACAUUACUGACGCUAAGGUGUGAAAGCGUGGGGAGCAAACGGGAUUAGAAACCCUAGUAGUCC